GAGAGAGAGAAGAGAAGGGCCGGCUUCAGGCCCCUCUGUUUCUUUCUUUCUUUCUUUGUUGUUCUCUUUUCUUCUAUUUUCUUUUCCAAU
rnacentral:ribozyme from 11 species